GGGGCUAACACAUGCAGUCGAGCGCGUACUUCGGGUACGAGCGGCGGACGGGUGAGUAACACGUAGGUAAUCUACCCUCUGGUGGGGAAUAACCCGGGGAAACUCGGGCUAAUACCGAUAUGGCCUUCGGGUCAAAGCCUUCGGGCGCCAGGGACGAGCCUGCGGCGCAUUACCUAGUUGGUAGGGUAAUGGCCUACCAAGGGGACGAUGCGUAGCUGGUCUGAGAGGAUGAUCAGCCACACUUGGGACUGAGACACGGCCCAGACUCCUACGGGAGGCAGCAGUGGGGAAUAUUGCGCAAUGGGCGAAAGCCUGACGCAGCCACGCCGCGUGGUGAUGAAGGCCUUCGGGUUGUAAAGCCCUGUCGGGAGGGAAGAAGUUCUGACGGUACCUCCCAAGAAAGCACCGGCUAACUCCGUGCCAGCAGCCGCGGUAAUACGGAGGGUGCGAGCGUUGCUCGGAAUCACUGGGCGUAAAGCGUACGCAGGCUGUUUCGUAAGUCGGGUGUGAAAGCCCGGGGCUCAACCCCGGAAUUGCGCCCGAGACUGCGAAGCUUGAAUGCGGGAGAGGGAAGCGGAAUUCCUGGUGUAAGGUGAAAUUCGUAAUAUCAGGAGGAACACCGGUGGCGAAAGCGGGCUUCCUGGCCCGACAUUGACGCUCAUGUACGAGAGCGUGGGGAGCAAACAGGAUUUAGAUACCCUGGU
rnacentral:rRNA from 1 species